rnacentral:rRNA from 1 species
GACGAACGCUGGCGGCGUGCUUAACACAUGCAAGUCGAACGAUGAAGCCGGAGCUUGCUCUGGUGGAUUAGUGGCGAACGGGUGAGUAACACGUGAGUAACCUGCCCUUGACUCUGGGAUAAGCGUUGGAAACGACGUCUAAUACCGGAUACGAGCUAGGACCGCAUGGUCACUAGCUGGAAAGAACUUCGGUCAAGGAUGGACUCGCGGCCUAUCAGUUAGUUGGUGAGGUAACGGCUCACCAAGACGACGACGGGUAGCCGGCCUGAGAGGGUGACCGGCCACACUGGGACUGAGACACGGCCCAGACUCCUACGGGAGGCAGCAGUGGGGAAUAUUGCACAAUGGGCGCAAGCCUGAUGCAGCAACGCCGCGUGAGGGACGACGGCCUUCGGGUUGUAAACCUCUUUUAGCAGGGAAGAAGCGCAAGUGACGGUACCUGCAGAAAAAGCACCGGCUAACUACGUGCCAGCAGCCGCAGUAACAC